GACGAAGGGGGCAAGCGUUGUUCGGAAUUACUGGGCGUAAAGCGAGUGUAGGUGGCCGUGCGAGUCAGGCGUGAAAGCCUUGGGCUCAACCCAAGAAAUGCGCUUGAUACUGUGCGGCUCGAGGACCGGAGAGGAUAGUGGAAUUCCCAGUGUAGUGGUGAAAUACGUAGAGAUUGGGAAGAACACCAGUGGCGAAGGCGGCUAUCUGGACGGUUUCUGACACUAAGACUCGAAAGCGUGGGGAGCAAACAGG
rnacentral:rRNA from 1 species